rnacentral:misc_RNA from 1 species
GGAUGUAUUGUAACCAAGUCAAUUCCAUUUUCAUUUGCAAAUUUCCAAGCAGCAUCCUCUGCUAAGGUUUUUGAUAGCCUAUACCAAUGCUGGAAAGCACGUGAAAAGGUUAGUAUUCUAACUUCUCAGUGAGUGUUCUUGACAAUGAUCUGAAUAAUAUCAGAUUCAACAAAAGCAACCAAUUCAUACAUAUAGUUUUACAUCACAAGGUUAGUGUUUUUAACUUCUGAUGCUUGCACUUGCGGAUGAAGGUAAACCAAAACAGGCCACAUCCUCUCAUAUCAGAAGAAAUUAUAUGCUAUCACUAUGAUAGCAUAUAAUUGCUCUUCAUAUUGCUAGUAAAAACCAUUUUCAUUUAUGGUGGAAAACUUAACCAUGAAAUUUGAGAACUUUUCAAAAUUAGGAAGGGAAGCGGAGAGCUUUGUAAAAGAAACAAUAAUAUACCUUAUUUUCCUUGCAGAAAGCAGGAUCAGAAAACCAAGUCUCAUCAACUACCACAUCAGGGGUCAGAGGUGUUCCAUUGAACAGUACUGUUGCGAUAGAAGAAGUUACAACCACUCUCUUGAUAAAAGGGACUUUCGAACACGAUUUAAGAACGUUUAGUGUUCCCUUAACAGCAGGCUCAAGCAAUACAUUCUGUGGGUCAUCUGUUGAAAGAAUUACAGGAGAAGCUGUAUGAAAUACACCUUCACAUCCAUCAACUGCUGAAUCAAAAGUUCCUUCUUCCACUAAAUUUGCCUUGAACAACUGAAGUCUCUCUUUAGCUCCAUCGAGUGCAAGCAAAUGUUCUGUUUGCUUAGGAUCAUUGGGAUCAAGAACAGUAGCUUUAACUGUGUAACCUCGCUGGAGUAAGAGCUUGACCAGCCAUGAAGCUAUAUAACCUGAUCCUCCAGUUACACACACCACCCUUCCUUCUCCACUCAUGAUGUCUCUUUCCUCUAUCCCUUACUCUCAGAAGAAGCAAUAUGACACAGACACGGCCUCUAGUCUCUGCUAUAUAUGUACGCCAUAAGGCUUACAACGGCAAACGGAGGAUUAUUUCAUUUCA